CCUCCUUUUCUUGGUGGGGAUUGAGCGUGCAGUCUCGGUCUGAGUAAUGUACAGAGGUAGAGGGAAAGGGUUCUGGCCCCUUGGUGUCAUGUCUUCAGUGCCGGUGGCUUCUACCCUCAAGCGCCAGGCACACAG